CUCCUUCUUGCCACUUGCUGUGGUUUGAAUGUAUUUACCAAAAUUCACAUAUUGGAAGACACAUUCCCCAGUGCUACAGUGUUGGGUGGUGAGGCCUAAUAAGAGAUGAUUGGGUCCUGAGAGUGGAGCCCUCAUGAAUGUAUUAAGUCACCUUGGGAAUGGGUCAGUUAUUGAGAGAGUGGGUUGUUAUAAAAGCAAGCCCAGUCCCUCAUGCUUUCUCUUUUAUACUCACUUACCCUUCUUUUCUUCUGCUGUGGGAUAAUGAAGCAUAAAGGCCCACACCAGAUGCCUGUGCCAUACUAUUGAACUUCAUAGCCUCCAGAAUGAUCCUGAAUUCCAGCAGAAUGGCUGCCAUCAACCAGUUUGAAGACCCUCACAGAAGAACCCAAUCAGCAUGAGAAUGUAGUUCCUUUAUCUCCCAUCCCAUAACUUCACUUUGCACUCUUCAACCAAUCAACAGUCCCCAUACUUUGGCCCACUACUCUUUCAAAGUCUUUAAAAUCCCUAGCCUCAUACUCCGCGGAGUGGCACAUUUGGGGUUUCCUCCCUUCUCCUCAUACAGCUGCUUACCAUUAAACCUCUUUCUGUGUGCCU
rnacentral:lncRNA from 10 species